rnacentral:rRNA from 1 species
UUGACCUCAAAUCGGGUGAGACUACCCGCUGAACUUAAGCAUAUNNNNNNNNNNNNNNNNNNNNNNNNNNNAGGAUUCCCCUAGUAACUGCGAGUGAAGCGGGAAAAGCUCAAAUUUAAAAUCUGGUGGCCCUUGGCCAUCCGAGUUGUAAUUUAGAGAAGCGUCUUCCGCGUCAGACCGUGCACAAGUCUCCUGGAAUGGAGCGUCAUAGAGGGUGAGAAUCCCGUCUUUGGCACGGAUGCCCUGGUGCUUCUGUGAUGCGCUCUCGAAGAGUCGAGUUGUUUGGGAAUGCAGCUCAAAAUGGGUGGUGAACUCCAUCUAAAGCUAAAUACUGGCGAGAGACCGAUAGCGAACAAGUACCGUGAGGGAAAGAUGAAAAGCACUUUGGAAAGAGAGUGAAACAGUACGUGAAAUUGUUGAAAGGGAAACGCUUGAAGUCAGUCGCAUCGACCGAGACUCAGCCUCGCCUUGGCUUGGUGUACUUCUCGGCACGAUGGGUCAGCAUCAAUUUUGCCCCUCAGAUAAUGGCAAGGGAAAGGUGGCACCUUUGCGGGUGUGUUAUAGUCUCUUGUCGCAUGUGAGGGGUGGGAUUGAGGAACUCAGCGUGCACCUCUGGUGUCGGGGCUUUGGCCCACGCAACGCGCUUAGGAUGCUGGCAUAAUGGCUUUAAACGACCCGUCUUGAAACACGGACCAAGGAGUCCAACAUGCCUGCGAGUGUUCGGGUGGAAAACCCGUGCGCGUAAUGAAAGUGAAAGUUGGGACCUCUGUCGUGGAGGGCACCGACGCCCGGACCAGACCUUCUGUGACGGAUCUGCGGUAGAGCAUGUAUGUUGGGACCCGAAAGAUGGUGAACUAUGCCUGAAUAGGGUGAAGCCAGAGGAAACUCUGGUGGAGGCUCGUAGCGAUUCUGACGUGCAAAUCGAUCGUCAAAUUUGGGUAUAGGGGCGAAAGACUAAUCGA